CAAAUACUCCCUCCGUCCGGAAAUACUUGUCAUCAAAAUGGAUAAAAGGAAAUGUAUCUAGACGUAUUUUAGUUUUAGAUACAUCUCUUUUUAUCCAUUUGGAUGACAAGUAUUUUCAGACGGAGGGAGUAGAAA
rnacentral:pre_miRNA from 1 species